rnacentral:rRNA from 1 species
UGGUGUUCCGGUUGUCACGCCUGUGGCAUCGCCGGGUAGCUAAAUACGGACGGGAUAACCGCUGAAAGCAUCUAAGCGGGAAGCCCACCUCAAGAUGAGAUAUCACGGAUCUUAAGAUCCCUAAAGAGCCCUUGUAGACAACAAGGUUGAUAGGCGCGAUGUGGAAGUGCAGUAAUGCAUGGAGCUAACGCGUACUAAUUGCUCGU